CAUGCAGUCGACGCGAAGGGGAGCAAUCCCCGAGUAGAGUGGCGAACGGGUGAGUAAUACAUCGGAACGUGUCCAGUAGCGGGGGAUAACCUCUCGAAAGAGAGGCUAAUACCGCAUACGACCUACGGGUGAAAGAGGGGGAUCGCAAGACCUCUCACUAUUGGAGCGGCCGAUGUCGGAUUAGCUAGUUGGCGGGGUAACGGCCCACCAAGGCAACGAUCCGUAGCUGGUCUGAGAGGACGGCCAGCCACACCGGAACUGAGACACGGUCCAGACUCCUACGGGAGGCAGCAGUGGGGAAUUUUGGACAAUGGGCGAAAGCCUGAUCCAGCCAUGCCGCGUGAGUGAGGAAGGCCUUCGGGUUGUAAAGCUCUUUCGGCUGGGACGAAAAGGUCCGUGUUAACACCACGGAUCCAUGACGGUACCAGCAGAAGAAGCACCGGCUAACUACGUGCCAGCAGCCGCGGUAAUACGUAGGGUGCAGGCGUUAAUCGGAAUUACUGGGCGUAAAGCGUGCGCAGGCGGUUUGCUAAGAGAGAUGUGAAAGCCCCGGGCUUAACCUGGGAACUGCGUUUCUAACUGGCAAGCUUGAGUGUGGCAGAGGGGGGUGGAAUUCCACGUGUAGCAGUGAAAUGCGUAGAGAUGUGGAGGACACCGAUGGCGAAAGGCAGCCCCCUGGGCUAACACUGACGCUCAUGCACGAAAGCGUGGGGAGCAAACAGGAUUAGAUACCCUGUAGUCCACGCCCUAACUAUGUCAACUGGAUUGUCGGGGAGCAUUCUUGUACGAAG
rnacentral:rRNA from 1 species